rnacentral:piRNA from 1 species
UUCACAGCAAGUGUGACUCACAGUUGGCA